rnacentral:rRNA from 1 species
GAUGAACGCUGGCGGCGUGCCUAAUACAUGCAAGUCGAGCGAACGGACGAGAAGCUUGCUUCUCUGGUGUUAGCGGCGGACGGGUGAGUAACACGUGGAUAACCUACCUAUAAGACUGGGAUAACUUCGGGAAACCGGAGCUAAUACCGGAUAAUAUUUUGAACCGCAUGGUUCAAAAGUGAAAGACGGUCUUGCUGUCACUUAUAGAUGGAUCCGCGCUGCAUUAGCUAUUUGGUAAGGUAACGGCUUACCAAGGCAACGAUGCAUAGCCGACCUGUGAGGGUGAUCGGCCACACUGGAACUGAGACACGGUCCAGACUCCUACGGGAGGCAGCAGUAGGGAAUCUUCCGCAAUGGGCGAAAGCCUGACGGAGCAACGCCGCGUGAGUGAUGAAGGUCUUCGGAUCGUAAAACUCUGUUAUUAGGGAAGAACAUAUGUGUAAGUAACUGUGCACAUCUUGACGGUACCUAAUCAGAAAGCCACGGCUAACUACGUG